AAAUACAAAUAGCUUGCUGGGCAAGAAAUUGCAAGUCUGCAUUGAUCCCAGGCGGGAAGAAGAAUGAAGACAUCCAUUCGCACUAUAUUCCUACUCUUGUGGCUCUGGAUGGACUGGGAGAGCCAUGGAGAGAAGGUCGAACAGCUUCAUUCCACACUGAGUGUUCGAGAAGGAGACAGCGCUGUUAUCAACUGCACUUACACAGACACUGCUUCAUCAUACUUCCCUUGGUACAAGCAAGAAGCUGGAAAGGGUCUCCACUUUGUGAUAGACAUUCGUUCAAAUGUGGACAGAAAGCAGAACCAAAGACUUAUAGUUUUACUGGAUAAGAAAGCCAAAAGCUUCUCCCUGCACAUCACAACCACACAGCCUGAAGAUUCAGCCGUCUACUUCUGUUCAGCAAGCACACACUGUUUCCCGGGCACCUGCAGCCUAUCCUCAAACUUGCUAUGGGGGCUGGAGCCCCAUCCACAUCCUGUGUCUUGUAGUAAAGCAUUUGUCAUAUUGUUUAUUUGA